CGGGUGAGUAACGCGUGGGUAACCUGCCUUAUACUGGGGGAUAACAGCCAGAAAUGACUGCUAAUACCGCAUAAGCGCACAGAACCGCAUGGUUCCGUGUGAAAAACUCCGGUGGUAUAAGAUGGACCCGCGUUGGAUUAGCUAGUUGGCAGGGCAGCGGCCUACCAAGGCGACGAUCCAUAGCCGGCCUGAGAGGGUGAACGGCCACAUUGGGACUGAGACACGGCCCAG
rnacentral:rRNA from 1 species